UACGGGGGGGGCAAGCGUUGUUCGGAAUUACUGGGCGUAAAGGGCUCGUAGGCGGCCAACUAAGUCAGACGUGAAAUCCCUCGGCUUAACCGGGGAACUGCGUCUGAUACUGGAUGGCUUGAGUUUGGGAGAGGGAUGCGGAAUUCCAGGUGUAGCGGUGAAAUGCGUAGAUAUCCGGAAGAACACCGGUGGCGAAGGCGGUCUGCUGGGCAGUAGCUGACACUGAGGCGCGACAGCGUGGGGAGCAAACAGG
rnacentral:rRNA from 1 species